UACGGAGGGUGCAAGCGUUGUUCGGAAUUACUGGGCGUAAAGGGCGUGUAGGUGGUAGGGUGUGUCAGAUGUGAAAGCCCUGGGCUCAACCCAGGAAGUGCAUUUGAAACUACUCUACUUGAGUAUGGGAGAGGAGAGUGGAAUUCCCAGUGUAGAGGUGAAAUUCGUAGAUAUUGGGAGGAACACCCGUGGCGAAGGCGGCUCUCUGGACCAAUACUGACACUGAGACGCGAAAGCGUGGGGAGCAAACACG
rnacentral:rRNA from 1 species